rnacentral:rRNA from 1 species
UAUUGCACAAUGGGCGAAAGCCUGAUGCAGCAACGCCGCGUGCGCGAUGAAGGCCUUCGGGUCGUAAAGCGCUUUUCGGGGAGACGAGGAAGGACGGUAUCCCCGGAAUAAGGCUCGGCUAACUACGUGCCAGCAGCCGCGGUAAAACGUAGGAGCCAAGCGUUAUCCGAAUUCACUGGGCGUAAAGCGCGUGCAGGCGGCCUGGAAAGUUGGAUGUGAAAUCUCUCGGCUCAACUGGGAGAGGCCGUUCAAGACUAUCAGGCUCGAGGGCGACAGAGGGAGGUGGAAUUCCGGGUGUAGUGGUGAAAUGCGUAGAUAUCCGGAGGAACACCAGAGGCGAAGGCGACCUCCUGGGUCGUACCUGACGCUCAGACGCGAAAGCUAGGGGAGCAAACGGG